CGGGAAACUGAGUAUAAUGCCCGAUAGAACACUAUACCUGGAAUGGUUUGUGUUCCAAAUGAAUGUCGCCGUAGGAUGGGACUGCGGCCUAUCAGUUUGUUGGUGAGGUAAUGGCCCACCAAGACUAUUACAGGUACGGGCUCUGAGAGGAGUAGCCCGGAGAUGGGUACUGAGACACGGACCCAGGCCCUAUGGGGCGCAGCAGGCGAGAAAACUUUGCAAUGUGCGAAAGCACGACAAGGUUAAUCCGAGUGGUUUGUGCUAAACGAACCUUUUGACAGUCCUAGAAACACUGUUGAAUAAGGGGUGGGCAAGUUCUGGUGUCAGCCGCCGCGGUAAAACCAGCACCUCAAGUGGUCAGGAUGAUUAUUGGGCCUAAAGCAUCCGUAGCCGGCUCUGUAAGUUUUCGGUUAAAUCUGUACGCUCAACGUACAGGCUGCCGGGAAUACUGCAGAGCUAGGGAGUGGGAGAGGUAGACGGUACUCGGUAGGAAGGGGUAAAAUCCUUUGAUCUAUUGAUGACCACCUGUGGCGAAGGCGGUCUACCAGAACACGUCCGACGGUGAGGGAUGAAAGCUGGGGGAGCAAACCGGAUUAGAUACCCGGGUAGUCCCAGCUGUAAACUAUGCAAACUCAGUGAUGCAUUGGCUUGUGGCCAAUGCAGUGCUGCAGGGAAGCCGUUAAGUUUGCCGCCUGGGAAGUACGUACGCAAGUAUGAAACUUAAAGGAAUUGGCGGGGGAGCACCACAAGGGGUGAAGCCUGCGGUUC
rnacentral:rRNA from 1 species